rnacentral:rRNA from 1 species
UACAGAGGGGGCUAGCGUUGCUCGGAAUCACUGGGCGUAAAGGGUGCGUAGGCGGGUCUUUAAGUCAGGGGUGAAAUCCUGGAGCUCAACUCCAGAACUGCCUUUGAUACUGAAGAUCUUGAGUUCGGGAGAGGUGAGUGGAACUGCGAGUGUAGAGGUGAAAUUCGUAGAUAAUUCGCAAGAACACCAGUGGCGAAGGCGGCUCACUGGCCCGAUACGUGACGCU